UGCUCAGGCUGGUUUGUAAGUCAGUGGUGAAAUCCCGGAGCUUAACUCCGGAACUGCCAUUGAUACUGCAAGUCUAGAGAUCGGGAGAGGUUGAUGGAAUAUCUGGUGUAGCAGUGAAAUGCGUAGAUAUCAGAUAGAACACCAAUGGCGAAGGCAGUCAACUGGCCCGAUUCUGACGCUAAAGCACGAAAGUGUGGGUAGCAAACA
rnacentral:rRNA from 1 species